rnacentral:lncRNA from 1 species
CCUCAGUGUCUGCUAUCCUUACUCUAAUACCUGGAUGUUUGUGAGGGUGUAAUGAUAGAAUCUUCUUGAUUUCUACUCUUGAUAUGAUGGCAACACCAUGUUCCACGAUAAAACUGACACAAAAAACAAUGCAAAAUUUGUCUAAGAGAGGUUCAGCAAGCAUGAGGAAAACAUCUGAUAUCUCACAGAGCCCGCCAAGUUCACAGCUUACAGUGCCAGAGUAA